UACGAAGGUCCCGAGCGUUGUUCGGAAUCACUGGGCGUAAAGGGAGCGUAGGCGGUGCGGUAAGUCAGAUGUGAAAUCCCGGGGCUCAACCCCGGAACUGCAUCCGAUACUGCCGUGCUAGAGGAUUGGAGAGGUAGCUGGAAUUCUUGGUGUAGCAGUGAAAUGCGUGGAUAUCAAGAGGAACACUCGUGGCGAAAGCGAGCUACUGGACAACUCCUGACGCUGAGGCUCGAAGGCCAGGGGAGCGAAA
rnacentral:rRNA from 1 species